rnacentral:rRNA from 1 species
AUGAACGCUGGCGGCGUGCCUAAUACAUGCCCGUCGAGCGAACAGACGAGGAGCUUGCUCCUCUGACGUUAGCGGCGGACGGGUGAGUAACACGUGGAUAACCUACCUAUAAGACUGGGAUAACUUCGGGAAACCGGAGCUAAUACCGGAUAAUAUAUUGAACCGCAUGGUUCAGUAGUGAAAGACGGUUUUGCUGUCACUUAUAGAUGGAUCCGCGCCGCAUUAGCUAGUUGGUAAGGUAACGGCUUACCAAGGCAACGAUGCGUAGCCGACCUGAGAGGGUGAUCGGCCACACUGGAACUGAGACACGGUCCAGACUCCUACGGGAGGCAGCAGUAGGGAAUCUUCCGCAAUGGGCGAAAGCCUGACGGAGCAACGCCGCGUGAGUGAUGAAGGUCUUCGGAUCGUAAAACUCUGUUAUUAGGGAAGAACAAAUGUGUAAGUAACUAUGCACGUCUUGACGGUACCUAAUCAGAAAGCCACGGCUAACUACGUG